AACUAUUUUUCUUUUUUAUCACAAGACAAUUUUUGUUUUCAAAUGAUUUAUGAUUCCUCUAAUUUCCAUGUAACUUCCAGGAAGGUGAACUUUUACCAAUUAUAACCAACAAAAUAUAACAUAUAUAAAUAUAAUUAUCAUAUUCUCGUACUAUUAUCCUGAGGUUGGUAACAACAAAUUUAAUCAUUCACAAUACAUAGUAUAUUUUCCACCAUCUCUUUCGCUGCGCAAAGGACUACUUUUACAUUGGCUCUCACAUUUAUCGAGGUGAUUGCAACACGUUUAAUGCAAAAAGGGCCAAGAAAAAAAAUUUCUAUUGACAUAAGGGAAGCUUUUGCAGUAUAGUAAAAGGUGUUGGGUUGCAUCACUUUUCUUUUCUUAUUUUUUUGUAGAAAACUCAAUCAGUUCAAAUUUCAAGUUUGACACAAGGGAAGCUUUUAUUGCAGAGGUAAAAGAAUUUCUAACGCCAUCAGCUAUGAUCUCAUGCAUGGACGCGGUUGAUUAUGAGGACCCUUUUGGUUUUGAAGAUUAUUUUCCUUCAAUGAUUGAUACAUUGGGGGUUGAAAUGUUCAUGGAAGAACUAUACAAUGGUUUUUGCUUGCUAAUGGAUGUAAGUAUAGGGCUCAUCACAUUUGAAAGCUUGAAAAGGAACACAUUAUUGAUGGGAUUGAGUGAAUUGAAAGAUGAUGAACUUCUUUGCAUGUUGAUUGAAGGAGAUUUGGAUGGAGAUGGAGCUCUCAAUCAAAUGGAGUUUUGUUCACUCAUGUUUAGAUUGAGUCCUGGAUUAAUGAUGGAUGGAUUCAAAUCGAACGACUUACAAGUUAUUUCCUAACCUGAUUUUCCUUUCGUUUUGGAUGGUUGAACUCAUGAGGAGAGAAAUGCGAAAAUAGUGAAGUUGUGGAGUUCUUCCUUGCCUAUGUUCAAUACUUUCGUUUUAGAAGUCAGGUUGAAUUUUUAAGAAUUGUAUAACAUGACUAGGGACUUAUUGAUUUAUAAUGCUAAUUCCUAGCUAUGUUUUUUUUUUUCUUAUUUUUUUAUCUACUGGUAAAUAAGGAGCAUGUACUAAUUGCUCCGCCUUGUAUCGAGUGAUUUUUAAUAAGUGUGCAAUGAUAAGUGAAAAUUCUUUUUGAUAA